UACGGGGGGAGCAAGCGUUGUUCGGAUUUACUGGGCGUAAAGGGCGCGUAGGCGGCCACCGCAAGUCAGUUGUGAAAUCUCCGGGCUUAACUCGGAACGGUCAACUGAUACUGCGCGGCUAGAGUGCAGAAGGGGCAACUGGAAUUCUCGGUGUAGCGGUGAAAUGCGUAGAUAUCGAGAGGAACACCUGCGGCGAAGGCGGGUUGCUGGGCUGACACUGACGCUGAUGCGCGAAAGCCAGGGGAGCGAACGGG
rnacentral:rRNA from 1 species